rnacentral:rRNA from 1 species
AUGACGAUCUUGAGCUGGAACUGCCGGGGACAAGGGCAGCCCCGGACAGUUCAGGAAUUGGUGUGCUUAGUGCGCACCUACCGUCCAUCACUGGUUUUUAUUUCUGAAACUAGGAGCAGUGAGGAGUAUGUCAAUAAGUUACGUAGGAGGUUAGGCCUCAAAUUCUGCAUAUCCCAUGUCGGUAAGGGAAAAGGUGCAUGCAUAGCUCUCUUCUAUGAU